UUUUCCACACUACAAAAAAGAUAAAUUGGUUUGCACAAAAUUCCAAACUGAUAUUAAACGGAUAACUUUUUUGGAAUCCCUUUAUGUAAAAAGAUUUUUCAAAGAAUUUCAGAUUAUUAUAUGACGAUGUGAAUCCCCAUUUCCAUGUUAUCAUCUUGUUAUCACAUUGAAUCUGAAAACCAAUAAAAUUUGUAUAUCCCCUCUAUAAAUUAAUGAACACCUUCUGCAGAAUAUGUAUACAAACUGCUUGUUAUCCCAUGGUCACACAUAAUAAAAACGAAUAUUUUCCACUUGACUGAUAAGCGCCUCCUCUUUUUCGCUCUUCCUUUCACUAUUUAUCCCAUCUUUUAUCCAUAUAUAGAUGAACUUGUAAAUAGAGAACUAGUUCAGUUGGAAAGAACACAUAGAUCAUCGUUUUAUUAUAAAAAUGCUGGAACCAACUUUUUCGUUCUUUAUUAGUUAGUUUCAUAAAUUUCAUUCCCUUGCAAUCUCUUGUUUCUAAGAUUUCACUAAACUUCCGGUUCUAUUGGAUUUUUUUUGAACAUUUCCACUCGAGACCAAUCCUCUACAAAUAUUUAUUUUAGAGAAAUUCAUAUAAGGAUUGAGAAAACGCUUGGUUUACUAGAUUCUCUAUAUAUUGAAAAAUGAAUUGUCUUGGGGUAAAAGAUGAAAGCAUGCCUAUUUCUAUUUCAAACCCCGAUGGCUCCAAGAGCUGACUCGGAAUUAAGAUUUCAGUUUCGCAACUCUUGUUCACAGUGCAUCACCCAGCUUGUCCGAACCGCGUGUUCUCAGCUUUCUAAAAAUAUUUUUUUCGUCCCAAAAAUCACAAUUUCAUUUUUUGGUCAUUUUCCGAAAGGCAAAGGUCCAGUUUCAUUUUUCGGAGCGAAGGACGAUUUUGGAGAUGGACAGUGUUUUUUGAAAGAUUUUUAGGACAUUGUAGAAACCUCAAAAAAGUGAUCAUUUUUCAAAAUUUCAAGUCGAUACGUUUGAUAUGAAGAGUUUUAUGAGCGAAAUUGGAUUUUUUUGAAAAACGGUCUGUAACUUGGCUGAACAUGAAAAUAUCCAAAAACUUAAAACUGGUAAAAUGUGGAGAAAUAUUUCUUAUUCACUAUUCAACAAAAUUUAUCUUCUGAAAUUCAAUGAAAGUUGAGUUAUAAAGGUACAACAAAAGAGUUAUAAAAUUUUUUAGUGAAUUUCGGUAAAAUGGAUUUGACUCCGUGUAACUCUACAAAAGUUGGUGUAUUGAAAUAAAAACUAUUGAGUUAAAAAGAAAAAAUAUGUUUAAUCAUUUUGUUAGUGGACAUUUGUUUUCCAGACAUGUAUUUUUCGAGAUACGCGAGUUUGAAAAUACUCAGUUUAGCGAUUUUAUGAGGUUAUUUGGUCCGCUGAGCAUGAUGUUUAUCAAUGGUGGGCGGCAAUUGCCGUUCUGAAAUUGUUUUGGCAGAACGGCAAUUUCCGGUUUACCGGAAAUUUUCAUUCUUGCCAAGAAGCCGGUUUGCCGCUUCACGUAUUCUUUAGAUAUUUUUAUACCGAUUAAAAUUGAAAUUCUGGAAUUUUGGUAAUUGUCGUUUUCCGGCAAAAUGCCGGUGUACCGCUUUUUGUCGGAAAAAACAUUUUCCGGCCCACACCUAAAGUGCUUUAGAGUCUCAUUUCUUUUCCUAUACUUUCAUUUUUUCAAAGUCCCAAUCCAGGUGUACAUCACGCUCAGCGAACCAAAUAACCGCCUAAACUCGCUAAACUGAGUAUCUUCAAACUGGCGCAUCUCAAAAAAUAUACGUCUGGGGAAACAAAUGUGGAACUAACAAAAUGAUUAGAAAUACAUUUGAAAAAGUUUAGAGCCAUAGCCCUCGGUUCAGAUAUGUUUGAAACUAAAGCCUAGUGGAAGCCCAACCGGGUCUGACAUCCAGAUUCAAAUUAUGUCUUAUAGUUUCAACAACUCUCAUUAUAGAUCGUUAUGGAUCAUUAUGAUCACAAGUUUUUCGAUCAUCUAAUUUAGAAACAUUGAAAACUACAGUAUUCCUACAAAAAUGACCAUAAGGUUCACAUUCCAUGUACCACUCAUUACUGGUUUCUCCAUCUUCUUUUCAACCGUUUUUUGUCUAUUUUUAUUUCGUUUUCUAUACCUGUCAUAUGGUGUUUUCUAACUAGUUAUUCUCCUGUUUUUAUCUCACUUUUUCUUGGGAGUUGCCCAGAGAACAAAAAGAUGAAGAAGGGUUUCCGGUGGAAACACUUUUUUCGGAAAACUCCUUUUUUUGAUUGAAGGAGUGAAAUAUUACAAGUGUAACCUACACUUAAAGAUGAACAACGCCUUCUUUUUGAUACGUACUUAUACAAAAUUCAUUUUUUUACAGUUUCAUAUUUGUGUGGAUAUCUGAAAUAUUUUCAAAAAAUAUGGUAACUAUGAAAACUACAGUCUAUUUAGCAUUCGUACCAUUUUUUGGUUUUAUGAAAAAUAAACUUUAUUAUUUACACUGUUUACUACAUCUUGCAGUCAAUUUUAAUUUGGAAAUAUCAAUUAAGCUACAGUACCCUAAUUAGUCUAAUCUGACACUAUCAUUGAUGUUUCAAUUAAGGCGAGAUAUCAGAGUCUCGCUGUUAUUUUUAUUUUGCAAAUCGAAAUGCUUUAGAUUAAUGAAAAUCAGUUCAAACAUCCGUUACCUGAAGCUAAAACGUUUUCUUCUACUCCACUUCACUCAAGCACUUCAAUUUUCGUUUUCUUUGGUUAAUCCAAUAUUGUUGAUAUAUUCGUUAAGGAUUCUCAUUAUAAACACGCAAUUCUCCACAGUAUGAUGCAUCGCAAGUUUUCAUUUUCCGCCGACAUUUCUCUCUCACUCUUUAGCUGUUUUCAUUCAUUUUCCCUAAUUUGGUUGCGUAAUCCGAGUACAAGUUUUACCCCAUAAACUGCCCGUACUUUCCGUCUCAUUAGUCUCUUUCUGUUUGAGAAAUGAAAAGUGGCGAUGGUGGUGGCCAUUUGUGUGCUACGCCCACGCACAAGUGUUCUUUUUCGUUUCAUUUAAGUUUCACACCUUUCAGGUUCACAAUUUCUUUCCCAGAUUGACUCAAGCUAUUAAAGGACUAGACGGUUGAAUUUUUGAAGCACAUGUACAUUGCUCUAGCCUAAUGUACUCCUAGGAUGCAUCCAAUAAAUAUUCUAAUCUUCGUUAAUCAGACAAUUCUACUAGUCUCGUUUUCUAAUAAAUGAUUUUCA
ensembl:lincRNA linc-120 ncRNA